CUGAAGACGGCUCUGCUGGACUACAUCAAGCGCUGCCGCCCGGGCGACAGCGAGAAGCACAACAUGAUAGCCCUGUGCUUCAGCAUGUGCCGAGAAAUAGGGGAGAACCACGAGGCUGCUGCUCGCACUCAGCUUAAACUCAUCGAGUCCCAGCCGUGGGAGGAGUCUCUUCAAGACGUAGCAAAUUUAAAGAAGCUGCUGAUGAAAGCUCUGACUCUCUUUAUUGAUGCAGCAGAAAGUUAUUCUAAGGACUCCUGCGUGCGGCAGGCCUUGCGCUGCCGGCGGC